rnacentral:rRNA from 1 species
CCUACGGGGGGCAGCAGUGGGGGAUAUUGCACAAUGGGGGGAACCCUGAUGCAGCGACGCCGCGUGGGUGAAGAAGCGCCUCGGCGCGUAAAGCCCUGUCAGCAGGGAAGACAAUGACGGUACCUGAAUAAGAAGCCCCGGCUAACUACGUGCCAGCAGCCGCGGUAAGACGUAGGGGGCAAGCGUUAUCCGGAUUUACUGGGUGUACAGGGGGCGCAGACGGCGAUGCAAGCCAGGAGUGAAAGCCCGGGGCCCAACCCCGGGACUGCUCGUGGAACUGCGUGGCUGGAGUGCAGGAGGGGCCGGCGGAAUUCCUGGGGGAGCGGUGAAAUGCGUAGAUAUAAGGAGGAACACCGGUGGCGAAGGCGGCCUGCUGGACUGCAACUGACGUUGAGGCCCGAAAGCGUGGGGAGCAAACAGGAUUAGAUACCCCAGUAGUC